GAAGGACGGGGGUCGGGGGGGGGGGCCCAGAAGACGUCCAGGCACACAGAGACAGGCUGUGCCAGCAGGGUAGAGAGGAUGUGUGGACUCCCCUGUGGGUGUGCCUAUGGCCCUAAUGUGUGCUGGGAGCUGGGGUGUGCGUAGAGUGGCCCCUUGGGAACAGUGACAGGUGCUCUAGAACGCAGGGCUUACACAUCCUCCAGAGGAUGACAUCUCAGCCUCUCAUAGGUAGGAGUUGGCACAGGUCCUAGCAGUGGAACACCAGCCACUGACCGCCUGCCAAGUGCAGGGACUUCAUCUGCUCUGUUCCUGCUGCUCCCCUACCCCAUACACACUGUGUCUGUCGCACCCCUUUCCUGCAGAAGAUGACUUUAUGUUUUAGUGUGAGGAUGUCUCAUUCAACAUUUGGGCCAUACUUAGAUUUAAAAAACAUUAGCAGUUUACCUAAA